GGGUCCCACGGGGGGCAGCAGUGAGGAAUAUUGGUCAAUGGUCGGGAGACUGAACCAGCCAAGCCGCGUGAGGGAUGAAGGUACAGAGUAUCGUAAACCUCUUUUGUCAGGGAACAAAGGCGGGGACGCGUCCCCGGAUGAGUGUACCUGAAGAAAAAGCAUCGGCUAACUCCGUGCCAGCAGCCGCGGUAAUACGGAGGAUGCGAGCGUUAUCCGGAUUUAUUGGGUUUAAAGGGGGCGCAGGCGGUCUGUUAAGUCAGCGCGCAAAGCCCGGGG
rnacentral:rRNA from 1 species